rnacentral:rRNA from 1 species
CAAGGCUUGACAUAUACGAGAACGGGCCAGAAAUGGUCAACUCUUUGGACACUCGUAAACAGGUGGUGCAUGGUUGUCGUCAGCUCGUGUCGUGAGAUGUUGGGUUAAGUCCCGCAACGAGCGCAACCCUCGUUCUAUGUUGCCAGCACGUAAUGGUGGGAACUCAUGGGGAUACUGCCGGGGUCAACUCGGAGGAAGGUGGGGAUGACGUCAAAUCAUCAUGCCCCUUAUGUCUUGGGCUUCACGCAUGCUACAAUGGCCGGUACGAUGGGCUGCAAUACCGUGAGGUGGAGCGAAUCCCAAAAAGCCGGUCCCAGUUCGGAUUGAGGUCUGCAACUCGACCUCAUGGAGUCGGAGUCGCUAGUAAUCGCAGAUCAGCAACGCUGCGGUGAAUACGUUCCC